GACGAACGCUGGCGGCGUGCUUAACACAUGCAAGUCGAACGGAAAGGCCCCUUUGGGGGUACUCGAGUGGCGAACGGGUGAGUAACACGUGCGUAACCUGCCCUUGACUUCGGGAUAACUUCAGGAAACUGGGGCUAAUACCGGAUAGGAAUCCUUGCUGCAUGGUGGGGGUUGGAAAGCUUCGGCGGUUUUGGAUGGACUCGCGGCUUAUCAGCUUGUUGGUGGGGUAGUGGCUUACCAAGGCUUUGACGGGUAGCCGGCCUGGGAGGGCGACCGGCCACAUUGGGACUGAGAUGCGGCCCAGGCUCCUACGGGAGGCAGAAGUGGGGAAGAUUGCACAAUGGGCGGAAGCCUGAUGCAGCAACGCCGCGUGCGGGAUGACGGCCUUCGGGUUGAAAACCGCUUUCAGCAGGGGCGAAGCUUGUGGUGACGGUACCUGCAGAAGAAGCACCGGCUAACUACGUG
rnacentral:rRNA from 1 species